CCUUCUCUGCCUCCGCACUGCCGUGUGUGCAGCUGCUCUGCCAGGCUCCUAUCCCGGGCAGCACGCGCGGAAGUAUACGCCGAGUCGUGCCACAACGCAACUUGCUUAUUGCUCCAGGUUUCUGAUUGGUCCAGUUGCCCCCAUUGAGUCCGCCCAGAAGAGGCUGCGUGAUACGAUUGGCUACGAGCUUGUGUCACUCUGAAGAGCUCAAUGGAGUCCCGUUUCAAGUUUAAAAAACAGGAAAAGCUGUAGAGAAAACUGACACCAAUGUGAGUUUAGACCCUGGCAACCCGGUAAGAAAAUAAGGCAGGAAUUAGCACCAUGGACAGAGACCAGCAGACCCUGCCUGCAUAAAAGUUUACUAAGCCUGGUACAGUGUUUUCUGUCCCUUCUUGUGAAACACAGAAACAGCAUUUCUUGGCUUCACUGCAUUUUGAGGAAGACACCCUCCUACUCUGUAGAAACACGGACUUUGUUUUGACUUUGUUAGGACUGGGCCAUAUGACCAACCACCGCCGGGAGAGUUGGAGCCCCGAAUUCACAGGGCACCUGCUACUGUCAUCCUCUUUUACAUACAUUUCGCUUGCCUGGAUGAGCAUGGCUUUCAUCAAAGUGCUCACACAAAAUAAAUGCAAAUCCAGGUAGUCUUCGAAAAGUCUGAUAAACCUCCAGAGUUUUAUAUCCUCGAAAUUACCAAUGGGAAAGGAUGCAAGACCGCCUGCCGGAUCACACUUGUUCCCCUCCCCCAGUAUUAUCUGAAUUCUUUUCAUCCGCCAGGCAAAGGGGCAAAGUCCUUUUCAUCCAAAGAUGGUUUGCCUGCAGAUAUUCAGACUAAGAUCUGUUGCACGUGCCCCAGACGUCUCUGAAAAUAUAUUUGCAGCCUCGGAUAGAUGACCAUUUACGUAAAAGCUCCUAUGAAUGUCCUCGGAUUUUCCUCACCUCUUUUAUUCAGUAUCAGCUUUUAGGAGGAAAAACACACGUCUCUGCUAGCAUGCAAAGGGGCAUCUAGGCAACCCAGAGAGGGUGAAGAAAAGCUGGAGGUGGGAAAGGGCAAAUCAAAGCUGUGUGUCCGGUUCUUUGGUUAAGUGUUAAGAGCCCUCUCUAAGCUUCCUCUCGAAGCCAAUACAUCUCAUGCAAAAUUAAUACAAGUAAUUAAAAAUAGCAGUUUCCAAAGUUAAAGGAAACCAUCUGUCUCAGCUGGUAGCAAUCAGUCUUUUCGCGGGUCCCUUUACCGGGACCUGGAAAGAAACGGUUUUUCUGCUUCCGAUGCUCCGAGGCUCGCUCUUAUAUUGAAGAUUUAUGUUUCCACUUGUGUGCGAUGCACGUCUAAUUUGAAAUAAUAAAGCCGGGCUGAGCAACCAGUCAAUCAGAGCUAUCAACUGCGCCCGGCACACCGCCCUGCCCCCAACAUCCCUCAGGUCUCUAACUCUUCCUCUCCCCACCCCCUCCCUCAUUCUGCCUCUCCAUCCUCUUUCCUCCCUCCUCUGUUCUCACACACACUCACACUUUGCCCCCCACGUGUGUUCAGAUCAAACCCUUGCCCCACAGAGCAAGUGACAGCACCGGGGCACGGUGACAAAGGCAGAGUUUGUAUCAGAAGAAGACUGAGGCCCGGGGAGACACCGCGGCUAGAGAAACAGCUGUCUUAUCAGCCUGCUGCAGAGAUGGAGAUGGCUCGAGAGGUCCUCAACAGAUAAUCACUUGAAUAGGUUUGCAAUGCGCCAAACUUCACGCUUGAUAAGGCCAACCCAAUGUAGAGAGCAGCCCAGAUCCUGCUCCAUUCUGUUUUAUCUGGGCUGUAAAUUAAGAAAUUGAAAUUCAGGUGGCAGAGGCAGCAGUCUGCUGAUAGACCGCUAAAGUAAACUGUCAUUAAAAUGCUUUCAGCAAGCAGAGAGGGGGCGCCUGGAAGGGGAUAUUGUUUGUUUGUUUGUUGGUUGUUUAUAUGGGAGUAAAAACAGUGAGAGGAAAGAGCCCACGGAGUUAAAAAUUAUUUGGGGAGGGAAAGCUACAAGGAGUAGAAAAGGACACGGCAUAUGGCCAGGAUUCCUAAUCAUGACUACCAUGAAUAAACAAUUUCAAAAAAUAAACUUUGAAAUUGUUUGAAGGUUGGCAUUAUAGAGAUGAAGAAACGAUUUUAACCAAUGUGGCAUAAAAGGGAAUAUUAUCUUUAUCAGAGUGGGGCAGUCCAAGUGGAUCCCAAAGGGACAUCCAAAGUUUUCCUUCCAUUUUAAGAAAAGCAAAUCAACAGGGUACAGGAGUUUUCAAAACCAAAGUUAAUCUGGCCUAUUUGUUGAAGUGACUGGGUCUCAGGAGGGGUUCAGGGUGAUUUUUAGAAUAGCAUAAGUGGCUAACUUCAAAAGAGUCUACUUAGCUACUUAUAGUAAAAACAGUUAUAUUUCAACUCUCUCUCCCCUUUACCCAGGUCAUUAUAAUAGGGUAAGUAAGGAACCCCUCAAAUCCAAGUAUGUUUCCUGACACCACCUGAUUCAUAUAGCAUGUUUUAUAUCCACCAUCCUCUACUGCUUUUAUAAACAUGAGGUUUGAAAUAUUUUAUGCAAUAUUUGAAUAAAUGUUAACCCCCAAAUUUAAAAUGUAAAAUUACCAGCAGAUAGCCAGUGAUGUUGUCAUCUUGAUUUACUAGUGACCCAGUACUGUACCUUGUUCUUUGCAUUUAAGUGGAUUGAUUGUUCAUUUGUGCUUGUUUGUGAUGUGUAUGAGAGGAUGUAUUACAUUUUACACAGCAUUUCUAUUUGGUCUUAGGAACAUUUAUACAAAGGUACCUUCAGCUAGCAACACAGUUAAUACAGUUUUUUUAAAAAAUCAAUCAAUUUUUAUUUUGUUUAACCCCAAAACUUAAAUUAAUGUUAGAAUACACAUAACUGUUGCUUUAUAGUGAUUUAAAUGACUUUCAGGUAUGGAAAAAAAUUAAAGAUAAAUUUGUUGGAAGAAGUGGUGAAAACAAUUUAAUUCUAUUUCAUGUUUCAGUAAUUGUUAAACUAUUUUGAUAUAUUAAAAAUAAUCUUAAAUUCUGAAAUCAUUUGAUCAAUCAUAAGGUGGGAAGCAAAUAAAUAUGUCAUUAAGUCAGAAUCUCAAAGACAUUUUUGUUGAAUAGUUAUAUGUGAAAAUCAUUUAUAGCAUGUAACAAUAAACGGGUGUUUGUGAUUUUUUUUUAAUUCAACUGUAUGUGUGAAUGAAUAUUGUGUGCACCCUUUAAUGAGAAAGAAAUUUGUGGUUAUGUAAGCUAAGUUUUCCUUUCCAUACUGUCAUUUUCCAUAAUGUUAUAUUUGUUUAAAUAAUGACUACUAUAAAAGCAUUUUAAGAAAUGUUCUUUUAAUGAAUUCCAGCAUUUUGGGCACUAUAAUAUAAUCUUAAGAUAUUUUUCUGACAAGUCUGAUUUUUUUCUUUUUUAUUUAUUUAAGCAAAGACAACAAGUCUGAAUUUUGAUAUUUCUCAAACAAGCUUGAAUUAUCAGCUUCAAUGAACCCUUAGGCUAUAGUUUUAUUUUUGUUUUCCUUUAUCAAUAUAUACACAAUAAACAGCUUAAACUAUUCUUUGUUCAUAUAUGCAGUAAAAAGUUACUUUUUGAAGAUGAAUUUGCCUAAAAACUAAAAAUAUGCACUCUCACUAAGUUUUAUAGCAUGGAAUGUGAAAAAAAGAUAUUUCAUGAAUAUAGCUUAUUAUAACUUUCCAAAACUAAAAGAUAACUUUAAAUAUUUUCCUGAUUCUAAAUAAAAUGUUUUAGUAUGAAAUUAAUAUAAAAACAAUUUCUGUCUUAUUGUUAUCACAAAUGAAUGAUAUAUCCAGUUUCUAAAGGCAUAACAAUUUACUGUAAAUGAUGAAAAUGAUAAAAUACCCAAAACUGUAAAAUUUAUUUUAAAAAAUAUUUUCUAUUAUUAAUUCCUCUCUGAAGAAAUAAGAUAGUAUGUACUUAAGGCAAACAGCCUUUCUAUGGUAUACAAAAGCAACAAUAUUGGAAGUUUUGAACAAUCCAAAAGUUGUAAUAUUUUUGUGUACAACUUAUAAUAAUUUGAUUAUCAAAAUAUCAGACAUAACUAAUUGUUUCUUUCCAGAUGCUAUGUUUAUCAUCAGAGGUCAAAUGAGCAAUAAUCAGUUCCCAUCUCUAAAUAUUUGCUCCGAAUUUUUGAUAAAAGACUCAUUUCAAUUUGAUUCAAGCACCUUUUGAGUGCUUAUCAUAUGCCAGAAUGAUAGAAUUAGACAAGAGACAAUAAAAGCUUAAUACAAAUCAGAAUACUUUUCAGGAAGACCCAGUAAAAGGAAAAUUUGGGAGGUUUAAAUAGCCCAGUGAAUGUACAAAAUAUUCAUAGUAUGUUUGAGUUUUGUUAUUGCAUUUCCUUCUGAUUUUUUUGUACACUAUUUCUAUAAGUUUUUAAUAGUACAGAUUGUCAAAAAAAAAACCUAUAUUAAAUAGACACUGUAAAUUUACCGUUCUAGGAGUUACAGUUUUGCAAACUGUUAAGAGCCUGGGCUUUGACUUCAGAUGUACGUGGAUUUGAACAUGACUCCACCACUGUAGGGCCUUGGACAAAUUACUUUAUCACUUCUAAUCCUUGGUUUCCUGAUCUAUACAAUGAUAAUAAUAAUUAUCAAUUUAAGUUCACCAUGAGUUUAAAUGUAAUCAUAAGUUAAAAUAAUCAAACUUCCUAGAAUGGAGGAAGUACCAAUACAAGAUAACUAUAAUUAUGGAAACAAAAUGAUAUCUUAACACAUUAUUUGAUGAAGCCAGAAUUAGAAUUCCUGCCUUUACAUAAUCUUUUAAAUAUUUUAAUUUGCUCUCAUUAAUGUCCUAUGUGGCAUAGUCUAUGAUAAAUACCUUCUCACAUUUCUAAUUGUAACCAAGUUUCAAAGGCCCCAGAAAACAUAAAAUCUUUUGUCUGCCCUGUUAUGUGACUUCAAUAUAUUUCCCAAUACAAUUUCAUGAUUCUCCCAUAAAAUGUUGUGGAUCUUCAAAAAGGAACUGAGUCUGAGAUCCCAUUUGACUGAUAUAAUAAUAAAAACACCUUAGAUUUUUAUAGUACCUUUUAUCACAAAAAGCUCAAUGCACUUUUACAUAUUUAUCAUUGUAACCUCAGGAGGUAAGGAAGGACAUAAAUUAUUUCUCAUUUUCAGGGGCACAGCUUAGGCAUUAGGAAUUUAGGUAACAUUUCUAAGGUGAAUAGAAGUAGAGAGCAGUUUCUGAAUGUUGGUCUUCCUGUAAUCUUUUAUUCUCUUUGGUACUAAUUAUGGCUAUUGUGACUUUAGACUCAGAUGUUAGUGUUUGACAUUAAAUGUAGUUUAUAAUUCAGUUAAUUAUUUGUGAAAUCAAGAUGAGUCAAAAAUAUAUCAUCACAGUCUAAUCAAAUUAAAUUUUUUAUUUUAUAUCAAGAUACAUAUUUUUCAAUUUUAUGCAUGUAUACAUUAUCUAUUCUAAUUUACCAUUCUGUGUUAAUUCUAAAGCAAGAUUUUAAAAGUUACUGAUCAUUUAUAGCAUUAAAAGAAAUCACUUCUAAUGUCCUUGUCACAUUUCCCAUACACACACACACACACACACACACAAACACACACACACACACAUAUUUGGCUACUUAUUACACAGGCUACUAGUACUUUUAGGUUGAGUUUUCUAUUUCUUAGGUUGUCUACACUUGAAAAAUCUAUCAAAAUAAAUAUUCAAAGGAAUAUAAAGGCAAUCUAUUUAAACAGAUUUUUAUAAUAGUUUUUGUUUUAAACAAAACAAUGUAGAACUAAUAAUGUUGAUAUUGUGAAACAUAGACUAUCAGAAAAAUACUAAAUCUUGCUUAUAGUUUAUAGUUUUGCAAUUUCCUCCUGGGCUUGCUUUGCUAAGGAUUGGCACAGAGGCAGCUAUAGAUGUGAACUAUCAGUAAAUAAGUGAAAUGGAAGAAGAUAAAUAUUUGUAGCCUGAUUAAAGAAUGAAUCAUAAACUGUGGAGGUCUUGCUUCACUGUAAGUCACAAUGGAACAAACUUAAUGUUUUUUUUUUUGUUGUUGUUAGUUUUGGUACUAGGAAUCGAAGUCAGGGCACUUAACCACUGAGCACAUCCCCAAAUUUUACUUUUUUAUUU